GCCGGGCGUGGUGGCGCACGCCUGUAGUCCCAGCUACUUGGGAAGCUGAGGCAGAAGAAUCGCUUGAACCCAGGAGGCAGAGGUUGCAGUGAGCUGAGAUCACACCACUGCACUCCAGCCUGGGUGACAGAGUGAGACUUAGUCUCAA
rnacentral:SRP_RNA from 2 species